rnacentral:rRNA from 1 species
UAGUCCACGCCGUAAACGAUGUCAACUAGCCGUUGGUUCCAUUUAAGGGAUCAGUGGCGCAGCUAACGCGAUAAGUUGACCGCCUGGGGAGUACGCCGGCAACGGUAAAACUCAAAGGAAUUGACGGGGGCCCGCACAAGCGGUGGAGCAUGUGGUUUAAUUCGAUGCAACGCGAAAAACCUUACCUACCCUUGACAUCCUCGGAACUUGUCAGAGAUGACUCGGUGCCUUCGGGAACCGAUGGACAGGUGCUGCAUGGUUGUCGUCAGCUCGUGCCGUGAGGUGUUGGCUUAAGUGCCGCAACGAGCGCAACCCCUAUUGUUAGUUGCCAGCGAGUAAUGUCGGGGACUCUAACAAGACUGCCGGCGUAAGCCGAGAGGAAGGUGGGGAUGACGUCAAAUCAUCAUGGCCUUUAUGCCUAGGGCUACACACGUGCUACAAUGGACGGUACAGAGGGUCGCUAACCCGCGAGGGGGUGCUAAUCUCAGAAAGCCGUUCCCAGUUCGGAUUGGAGU